rnacentral:lncRNA from 1 species
GAUGUGUGUUUGACAAAAGUUCAAAAUAUUUCAAACAGAUUUAAAAAGGAUUUUGAAAUGAGUUUUAAAUACAUUUUGGAAUAAAAAAAAAGAAAAGGAAAACCUCUCCCUUCCUCAAUUCUGGCCCGAAGGCCCACUCCUCUUCUUGCUCUGGCCCAAGUGGAAAACCCCUCCCCUUUUCCUUCUCACCGCGGCCCAAACUCCCUCCCCUCUCUUGGCCCGUCGCUCGGCCCAAGCCGCGAAUCCUUCUCCCUAGCUCCGGCCCAAGCUUCUGCUGUAGCCCACGAGUGCGCUCCUCUCCCUCCCCUUUUCUUUCUUCCACUGCCAGCCGGUCCCCACCUGUCAGCGAUAUCCUCAUCUCCUACCUGGUGUCGGGGGCGAGCAGGACUCUGCUCCGACCCAAAACACCGAGAUCCGC